rnacentral:rRNA from 1 species
GGACGAAGGCGUAGCANUAAUCUGAGUGGCGGACGGGUGAGUAACCGUGAACAAUCUGCCCAUAGCUGGGGGAUAACGCAGGGAAACUUGCGCUAAUACCGCAUAAGACCACGGUAUCUCAUGAUACAGGGGUCAAAGGAGCAAUCCGGGUAUGGAGGGGUUCGCGUACCAUUAGCUAGUAGGUGAGGUAACGGCCCACCAAUGCGACGAUGGGUAUCCGAGCUGAUAGGCUGAACGGCCACACUGGAACUGAUAUACGGUCCAGACUCCUACGGGAGGCAUCAGGGAGGAAUAUUGGGCAAUGGGGGAAACCCUGACCCAGCAACGCCGCGUGAAGGAAGAAUGCCUUCGGGUUGUAAACUUCUGUGACAGGGGACGAAAGAAAUGACUGUACCCUGAUAGGAAGCCACGGCAAACUACGUGCCAGCAGCCGCGGUAAU